rnacentral:rRNA from 1 species
UACGUAGGGUGCGAGCGUUAAUCGGAAUUACUGGGCGUAAAGCGUGCGCAGGCGGCGCGUUAAGACAGGUGUGAAAGCCCCGAGCUUAACUUGGGAAUUGCGCUUGUGACUGGCGUGCUGGAGUGUGGCAGAGGGAGGUGGAAUUCCGACGUGUAGCAGUGAAAUGCGUAGAGAUGUGGAGGAACACCGAUGGCGAAGGCAGCCUCCUGGGCCAGCACUGACGCUCAUGCACGAAAGCGUGGGGAG